CGCGGUAAUACGUAGGGCGCAAGCGUAUCCGGAAAUUAUUGGGCGUAAGAGCUCGUAGGCGGUUUGUCGCGUCUGCCGUGAAAGUCCGGGGCUCAACUCCGGAUCUGCGGUGGGUACGGGCAGACUAGAGUGAUGUAGGGGAGACUGGAAUUCCUGGUGUAGCGGUGAAAUGCGCAGAUAUCAGGAGGAACACCGAUGGCGAAGGCAGGUCUCUGGGCAUUAACUGACGCUGAGGAGCGAAAGCAUGGGGAGCGAACAGGAUUAGAUACCCUGGUAGUCCAUGCCGUAAACGUUGGGCACUAGGUGUGGGGGACAUUCCACGUUUUCCGCGCCGUAGCUAACGCAUUAAGUGCCCCGCCUGGGGAGUACGGCCGCAAGGCUAAAACUCAAAGGAAUUGACGGGGGCCCGCACAAGCGGCGGAGCAUGCGGAUUAAUUCGAUGCAACGCGAAGAACCUUACCAAGGCUUGACAUGAACCGGAAACGCCUGGAAACAGGUGCCCCACUUGUGGUCGGUUUACAGGUGGUGCAUGGUUGUCGUCAGCUCGUGUCGUGAGAUGUUGGGUUAAGUCCCGCAACGAGCGCAACCCUCGUUCUAUGUUGCCAGCACGUGAUGGUGGGGACUCAUAGGAGACUGCCGGGGUCAACUCGGAGGAAGGUGGGGACGACGUCAAAUCAUCAUGCCCCUUAUGUCUUGGGCUUCACGCAUGCUACAAUGGCCGGUACAAAGGGUUGCGAUACUGUGAGGUGGAGCUAAUCCCAAAAAGCCGGUCUCAGUUCGGAUUGGGGUCUGCAACUCGACCCCAUGAAGUCGGAGUCGCUAGUAAUCGCAGAUCAGCAACGCUGCGGUGAAUACGUUCCCGGGCCUUGUACACACCGCCCGUCAAGUCACGAAAGUUGGUAACACCCGAAGCCGGUGGCCUAACCCCUUUUGGGGGGGAGCCGUCGAAGGUGGGACUGGCGAUUGGGACUAAGUCGUAACAAGGUA
rnacentral:rRNA from 1 species